ensembl:lncRNA
GCCGGCUGCUGCGCGUUGGGCGGGGGAGGAGGCGGAGGCGGAGAAGAAGGCGGCGGCGGCGGGUGGAGGACCGAGCGCCGUCCUCGCUCCGGAGCCGCUUCUCAGCUCGACGCAUAGGCUCUGCGUUGAGUCGGCUGCUUCCGGGAAAGUUCUUUUUUUAAAGGCCUAAUAUAGUCUUAUUUUUUAUCAUGACCUGUUUGGUAAGUUAGAUUUCUUUACAUUGGCAGCCCCUUCUGGUGAAGACUAUAGAUCAUUUGCAGAGUGUGUAAAUAAACACGAAGAUAAACAUUGAAAAGAUUUUUAACGAACGUUUGGACUUUUUUCCCACGUCUUCUGGAAUUUAUUAUUUUUAUAUGAAAUAAUUUUAAUUUUUAAAAUUCAGUUACAAACAUGCAAACUAGAUGUAAAAUUUCAGCAAUACAGAAAAUGAACCAUUAAACUACAAUGUGAACAUUCCUGUUGGUCCUCCAGUCUCAUCCCAGAGUCUAGAACAAUACUGUACGUCUUCCUAGGUGCACUUUUAAACACAUGUGCGUAAUGUAGUUGGGAGAGUUUGGUGGGAAUAUACUAAACACGUUGAUAUAGCACUUGCUUUUUUCGCCAAAUUAUGUAUCUUGGCCAUCUUCCCUUGUAAAUUAUAAGUCCCCUUGGUACUUUUUAAAAGCUAAAUAAUGUUUAAAUAAUUUCAAUGGGCUUUAAUUUAUUAACCGUUCCCUUACUGAAAGACGUUUAGGUUAGUUUCUUUUUCUAAUCACAAAUAAUGCUUUAUUUGAAUCCACGUUUUACAGUUACUUGUUUUCAUUAAUAUCCUUUAAAUCUUCUUAAAUUUUAAACUUCAGACAGCAUGGGAAGGCUGUGCGGCAGAGAGUGCCCCUCCCCCUUCCCCUGCGCGCUCUGCCUGCAUUCUAGGAGUCAGCUGUUGAGUAAAUGUCCUCUGCAUGUGAUUGUUUCUGGAGCAUGUAUUCCUAGAGAUUGAAUUGCUAGAUUAAAAACAGUGUGCAUUUAAAUUUUGAUAACCGUUUCUCCCUACUUAGUACUCUUUUCGAAGUUAAUCUUAGGCAUUCUACAGAUGAACUUUAGACUCAACUUGCAAAUUAGAUGAAAGAUCCUUUAGGUGUUUUGAGUGAGGUUAUAUUGAAAUUUUAGACUAAUAUGGAGCAAGUUAACCUUUGUGAUACUGAAUCUCUCCCUUCUGAUAGAUAUGUAUGUAAUGUAUAGCAUGUCUCUUAAUUCACAUCUUGCUUAAGGAAAGUUUUAUAGUUUUAUUCCAUAAAACUCUAUGUAUGGCAUACCAUCUUGGUAGCUCUGCUGGAUAGAAACUUUCAGUAACAUUUAUUUCUCACCCCCCAGUUAUACCAAAGCUUUUGAAUUUUUUUUCUGCUUAUCAUGUAUCUAACCACUUAACUCAGAGAAGGCAAUGGCACCCCACUCCACUCUUGCCUGGAAAAUCCCAUGGAUGGAGGAGCCUGGUGGGCUGCAGUCCAUGGGGUCGUGAAGAGUCAGGCAUGACUGAGUGACUUCACUUUCCUUUUCACUCUCAUGCAUUGGAGAAGAAAAUGGCAACCCACUCCAGUGUUCUUGCCUGGAGAAUCCCAGGGACAAGGGGAGCCUGGUGGGCUUCGGUCUGUGGGGUCGCACAGAGUCGGACAUGACUGAAGUGACUUAGCAGCAGCAGCAGCAACCACUUAACUGAGUUGAUUUUCUCAAAAUAUUCACAGUUUUGUGGCUUUUAAAUUUUAUAAUUUGUGUUUUCCUCAUUACAUUAGGACUUUCCUGGUGGCUCAGCUGGUAAAGAAUCUGCCUGCAGUGCAGGAGAACCCGGUUCAUUCCCAGUUUGGGGACAGUCCCCUGGAGAAGGGACUAGCAGCUCACUCCAGUAUUCUUGCCUGGAGAAUCCCCAAGGACAGGGGAGCCUGGUAGGCUGCAGUCCUUGGGGUCACAAAGAGUCUGACUGGGCUGAGUGACUUAACACUUUCACUUUUCUUUCUCAUUACUUUGGCUAGUAAUAUUUUUAUACAAUGUUAAAUAAUAGCAGUGAUAGUUCACAACUUGGUGGUGGUUUAGACUUUAAGGGGAUCUGAUGUUUUAGCAUCAAUUAUGAUGUUUACCGAAGCUUUCUGAUAAACGGAGAGUAUAAUAGGUUAAAAUAUUUUCUUGUAUUCUUAACUUUCCAAGUGAUUUUAUUGUUGUUUUUAACUUCUGAUAUUUAAAAAAAUCAUAAAUGGGUAUUGAAUUUUAUUGAUGUUUUUGAUACCUUUUGAGUAUUUGUAUAGGGGCAUCACCAUUAUUCCCUGGUUAGUAUUUUCCCAAAAGAGCUGUUUUUUUACAGAAUCAAUUUUAUUGAGGAUAAUUUACUUAUAAUAAAAUACAUAGAUUUAAAAUGUAUGGCUCCGUGUGUUUUGACAGAUGUAUACAGUCAUGUCACCACUACCACAAUCAAUAGUAGAAUAUUUUCGUUACUACAGUCAAGAUAGUGAAUCUUUCUCUCAUCCCCAAAAGUUCCCUUCUACCCUUUUUCAGUAAGUCACUUUUUUACCCUCGGCUCUAGGAAACAGUUUGUCCUCUUUUUCUCACUCUAGAUGGGUUUCAUUUGUUCUAGAAUUUUAUAUAAAUAAAUUAUGUAAUGUAUAUUCUUCUGUGUCCAUGGUUUUUUUUCCACUGUGUUAUUUUUAAGGAUAAUCCAUGUGUUUGUAUGUUUAGCUGGUUCACGGCUUUUGUUGCUGACUAGUAGUUUAUGGUGUAUUGAUUCACCACAAUAAUUGGACAUUUCACCUAUGUAUGGGUAUUUGGAUUGUCUCCAGUUUAGGAUUCUUUUUAAUAAAGCUCUACAAACAUUCAUUCAUGAAUGUGCGAACAUAUAUUUUCAUUUCUCUUGGUUAAAUACUUAUAAAUGGAUUUGUUGGGUUGUAUUGUAAAGGAAUAUUUAAUUGUAAGAACGUGCCAAACUGUCCCUCAUUUUAUAGUUCCAGUGGCUCUAUGUUAUCAAACUUGGUUACUUUUAGCCCUUCUAGUGGGCAUGUAGUAGUAUGACACUGUUUUAAAUUUGCAUUCACGUGAUGUCUGAUGAUGCUGAAAGCUUGUCGUGUAUUUUGGGUCAUUUGUAUGUCUUCCUUUGUAAAGCGUGUGUCCAGCUCUUUGCUGUCUUUGCACAUUGAGUUGCUCGUCUUACUGGCUUUUGGAGGAAUUCUUCCUGCAGGUUCCUGUAGAAGUCCUUCGCCCGCGGACGCGCACACGCUCAGUACGGUCUGAAGCUCACCUUUUAAUUGUCCCAGAGGAGCUUUUAAUUUUGAUUAAAUUCAUUUCAUCAAUUUCCCUUUUAUAAUUUGUGUUUCUGUGUUCUAAGUUUGCUCAGUACAAAGUCAGGCAUAUUUCCCCUUACGUUUUCUUCUUCAGAUGUUGCUGUUUUUAUGUCAAGGGGUAGCAGUCUGUUUUGAGUUAUUUUCGUAUGUGGUGUGAAAUAAGGGUCAGGUUUAUUUUCCCGGUUCUAGCACCGCUCGGUCAGAAGUCGGCUUGGCCUUGUGUGCGAGUGUGCUCUGGGCUCCCCUGGAUCUCCGCUGCCGCCCGUUCUGCCGGUGCCGCUCCGUCAGUCGUGAUCACUGUCGCUUCAUAAUAAGCUUCACAGUCAGACAGUGCAAGUCCUUCAGCUUCUUUUCCCAAAGGCACUCUGGCUCUUCUAGCUCCCUUUGCUUUUCCAUGAAAUGUUUUGGAAGUAACUUGCCGGCUUCUCCAAAAAGGACUGAGGGGAUGGUAAUCUAGAUUACAGUGAAUACAUUGAUCAGCUUGAUAAGAAUUGACAUCUUAAUACUGAAUAAUCAUGUAGGCACAUGAGAUGUCUCUGGUUUUAAUCAAAGGUCUUCAUUUUCCUUCAUUAAUAUUUUAUAGUUGCAAGAUACAGAAGUUGUUGCUCUUGUCGGUUUAUAUCCAGGUAUCUCAUCACUUCUAAUAAUAUUGAAAUAAUAAUUUUCCAAAGUUUCCACGUCCAGUUGUUAACUGACAGUAUGUAGAAAUACAGUUGAUUUUGCAUACUGAUCUUGAACCUCGCAACCUUGCUAAACUCACCUAUCCUAGUAACUUUUUUUUCCUUUGUAGAUUCUUUUGGAUUUUCUCGUGUAGCAAGUUAGCAUCAUUUGUGAAUGCAGAGCAUUUUUGUUUCUUUUGUUUUCAGUUUGUAUGUAGCCACCUCCCCUGUACCUUUUUUCCCCUUAUUUCUGUGACGAGGACCUCCAGCAUGAUGCUGAAAGCAGUGGUGAGAACAGGUACCUUUGUCUUAUUCGUAAUCCUAGGGAAAGAAAUCUUUCAGUCUUUCAUUAGUAAGGCUACUAGGGCCUUUUAUCAGGUUUUAUUAUAUACUGCAUAUUAUAGUUAAGUAAAAUAAUCCUUUAAUCAAGUUAAGGAUGUCCCCAUUCUGUUCUUAGAUGAGAAUUUUUUAAUCAUGAUUGGACAUUGAGUGUGCUUAGAUGUUUUAACUGUUAUUUAUUUAGAUGAUCUUCUGAUUUAAUCUUCCUUGGUGUGUUAAUAAGAUGAAUUACAUUGAUUUAUUUUCAAAUGUGUCAACCUUGCAUUCUCUAGAUAGGCCUCACUUGGUAAUGAUAUAUUAUUUUCAUAAGUUAGGUUAGAUUUACUAAUAUUUUGUUGAGUAUUUUUUGGUAUCUGUGUCCUUGAAAGAUACAUUUUUGUGUAAUAUUUUUGUAUCAGGAUAAUGCUGGUCUCAUAGACGUAAGUGUUUCUUCCUCUGUAUUUCCUGAAAAAUUUUGGAUAGGAUUACUAUUUCUUUCAUAAAUGUUUAUCAGAGUUUGCAAGCUAAGUUACCUGGGCCUAGGUUUCUCCAUUGAACAGGGAUGGUUUAGUUGCCUUAGUGGAUGUAGGAUGGUAAGGAUACCCUAAUUCUGUCUUAAAAACACAGUCAGCCUUUAAGUAUGUGAGUCACCUGAUACAUGAGUUUUAGUGGUUCGGGCGUUUCAGGGAAUCUGUUUCUGCUAAUUGCCACGAAGUUGUUUCUUGUUGUCCCUUUAGUAGCUGUGGCGUCCAUAGUGGCGUCCUUUCUUCAUUCCAGAUGUUGUCAAUGUGACCUCUCUUUUGUCUUCAUUAGUUCAUUUCCAGGGUUAUCAAUUGUGUUGACUUCUCUAAAGAUCCAGCCUUUUAUUACUUUAAAAAAAGCUUUCAGAUACCCUGAUUUUAACUCUUUACUGUUUCUUCUUAAGUGCUUUGGAUUUAAAUCCCCUCAGAUUUUUCAGGUGUAAGCUUAAAAGGCUGUUGAUUUGAGACCUUUCUUCUUUUCCUUCUGAGUACUACAUCACAUGGUCUCACAGAUCUUUAUGUUGAUAUUUUCUGAGUUCUCUUGUGACUUUCACAUUGACCCAUGGGUUAUUUAGAUGUAUAUUGUUUAAUUCCCAAUUAUUUGGUGAUUUUUGCCCAUCUCUUUCUGUAACUGAUUUCUAGGCUUAAUUUUAUUGUAGAUGGAAAACAUACUUUGUUUAAUUUUGUUUGACUUCUUUGAAGUUGUAUAAAUCAGAAUAUGGUCAGUCUUGGUAAAUGUCUGUGCAAUUCAAAAUAAUGUAUGUCAAGUUGCUUCGGGGCAGGACAUUCUAUAAAGUCUGCAUUCCAUUUUAAAUACUGAAUCAAUCGUCUGUAUUAAAUGCUCUGUAAUUGUCAGGUCAGGCUGGCAUGUGGUGUUCGCUGAGGCUUUGUCUCCUUGUUUUGCUGGUCACUGCAAGAAGAGCUGAAGUUCAGGUGUGAUUGUGGACUUGUCUAUUUCUGCUUCGUCUUCCAACUGUCUUUACUUCAUGUGGUUUGAACCUCUGUUGUUAGGUGCGUGUUUGUUUAGGAGUGUUACAUCCUCUUGGUGAAUUGACCCCUUUAUCAUUAUGUAGUACCCUUCUUUACCUCUGGUAAUAUUUCUUCUGCAGACUACUUUUCUGAUAUUGAUAGUGCUACUCUGUCUUCCUUUUGGUUAGUGAUUGCAUGAUUUAAAAACUUUCAAAGGCAUUUAUUUAAAAAAACACUUUGAAAACACACAUAAUAUGAAGAUAAAAAGACUGAGUAAGUAUCUAGUACUUUGGCCACCUCAUGCGAAGAGUUGACUCAUUGGAAAAGACUCUGAUGCUGGGCGGGAUUGGGGACAGGAGGAGAAGGGGACGACAGAGGAUGAGAUGGCUGGAUGGCGUCACUGACUCGAUGGACGCGAGUCUGAGUGAAACUCCGGGAGUUGGUGAUGGACAGGGAGGCCUGGCGUGCUGUGAUUCAUGGGGUCGCAAAGAGUCGGACACGACUGAGCGACUGAACUGAAGUAUUGUUUGCAAGUACUCACUAAAAGUAAAAUGCCUGCAUUAGUUGUAAUAUUGUUCAAAAUAGACAUAAAGGAAGAAAUAUUGCAAGAAAUAGGAAAAUAUCAUAAGAAGUAGGUCAAUUCAUCAAGACAAUAUAAUAAUCCUAAGUGUAUGUUUAUCUGAUAACAUUGCCUCUGAAUAUAGAAGUUAAUAUAAUUAGUAAAGAUAGGUAUACAUUCAUAACUGGAGGUUUUAAAUAUGCAUUUGGUAUAACUAAUGGAACAAAUAUAUGAAAAUGUCAGGAAAUAGGAAAUUUGAAUGACAUGAUUAAUCAUCAUCAUAUAAUUGACAUUAAUAGAACAUUUUGUCUAAACCUGAAGGCUGUGCUUUUCUUUUCAAGCACAUAUGGGACAUUUGUUAAAAUACUGUGGUCCUUAAAAAGUAUCAUCAAAUUUCACAGGAUGGAAAUUAUAUAGUACAUGUUCUUUGAACCCUGUGGAAUUAACUACAAUUCAGUCUUGCCUGGGAAGUCCCUUAGACAGAGGAGCCUGGCAGGCUACAGUCCAUGGAGUCGCAAAAGAGUUGGACGUGACUUAGCAAUUAAACACUUUAAAGACGCACAUAGUACAAAAGUAAAAAGCCGCUGAACAGCAACAGCAACAUAAAAAUAACUGGCUAGGUCCAUGGGGUUGCACAGAGUUGGGCACGACUGAAGCGACUUUGCAUGCAUGCAUGCAUUGGAGAAGGAAAUGGCAACCCACUCCAGUAUUCUUGCCUGGAGAAUCCCAGGGACGGGGGAGCCUGGUGGGCUGCCAUCUGUGAGGUCGCACAGAGUCAGACACGACUGAAGCAACUUAGCAGCAGCAGGCUCCAAAUGUUUGAAAAUUAACCAAGACAUUUUAAAUAGCACAUGAAUCAAAAUGAAGUCAUGAUGAAAAUUAGAAAACAUUUUUAUCUGAAAAAUAACAAAAAGAUUACAUCCGAGCUUAUUGAGUGCAACUGAAGCAGUGCUCGGAGAGUACUCUAUAUACAAGCAUACUUCAGUUUUUAUUGUGCUUUGCUUCAUUGCACCUCAUGGAGACUGUGUUUCUUUACGGAUUGAGGAAUUCAUAAUUGCCACUUCUCCAGUAGCAUUUUCUCACUGAUAGAGUUAGCAUAUCCUUAUCAGUUGAGGAAUAGAAGAAAACUGUUAAUUUUCUGUAUAGUAUCAGCAACAACAAAAAAAUGCUACAGCUGAUAUAAUACUCAGUGAAAAACCUUGUUUCAUGUCCCCUAUCUUUUUCUCUCUUUAACUACAUUGGAAUCCUAACCAGUGCCCUCAGGUUAGAAAAGGUUAAUUUUAAAAAAUGGAAAAAAAUUUUUAAAGUGUUUGCCAGUAAAGGUUUAGAAUAUGUGGAUUUAAAGAGACACAAGGGCACAAAGACAACUGGCAGAAAUGUAAGGCGUACACCGGCAACCAAAAGUGCUUUUAGAGAAGCGUCAGAAUAUGUGGGGUGCCUGAGGAUAAAUCUAAUGAAAACUUUGGCGAAACUUCUACACUGAGAAUUAUAAAACAGUGCUAGGAGACAUUUUGAAAUACCGAAGUAUGUGGAGAAAUACUUCAUCUUUAUAUCGUAGGAACUCACUAUUGUUAAAAUGUCAGUUUCCUCCAAGUUGAGCUGUAGGUUCAAUAUGAUUUCACUUUAAGUCCCAGAAUUUAAAGAUUAGGAUGAAACGGAUUGCAGAAUCCAUAUCAAAAUGUAAAUGUCUCAAGACUUGCUAUAAAGUUAGAGUAAUUAACAAGUUAGAGUAAUUAGAACAAGAUGGACAGAAAGACCAGUGGAGGAAUGUGAGUGUCUAGAAGUGGAACCGUCACACAUGUAGUAUCUUGGAUUAUGGCAAAAGCUCCACUGAAGUUAAUAAACAUGUUUAAUAAAUUGUGUUAGGUAAAUUGGAUAUUGAAUAUUUGGGGAAAAAAUGAACCUUGAUUUCUACCUGAUACUGUAUUCAUUUGAGUUGAAUCUGUAUAAGCUAAAAUUAUCAAGUUUCUAGAAGCAAACCUAGAACAUCAUCAGCCUGGAUUAGACAAAAAUUUCUUAAACGUAAAGUUGGUAAAUUAGACUACACUAAGUUAUGAAUUUCUAUUCAUGAAGAUGUAAAAGCAACAGGCAAGCCACAGACUACAAGAACAUACUCACAUUAAGUAAGUCUGGUGAAAGACUUGCAUCCAGAAAGUAUAGCCUAGAAAUCAAAAAGAAAAAGGGAAGCUACACAACACACUUUAAAAUCUGCAAGAAAGCAGGCAGGCUCUUCACAGAAGAUGCCCAGAAGGGCAGUGUGCAUAGGCAAAGGCACUCUGCAUUAUUACUCAUCAGGGAAACGUCACAAUGAGGCACCGUCCCGUCACACCCCUGCCAAAUGGCUGAAAUUAGAGACCGACAAUACCAAGUGUUGCCAAGGAUAUGAAUCAAUACCAAGUGUUGCCAAGGAUAUGAAACAACACUCUUAUAUAUUGCUGGUGGGAAUGUAAGUUGUUUCAGCUGCUUUACAAAGCUGUCAGGAUCUGUUAUAGCCGAAUGUAGCUUUGUACUGUGACCCAGUAAUUCCAGGUCAUGGAUACUCAAGAAAAGUUGGGGAAAGAAGCCCAUACAAAGAUGUUUAUAACAACAUGAAUGAAUCUCAGAAACAUUCUGUCAAGCAACAGUAAAUAGACACAGAAGAGUUUAUGAUGCCUGAUUCCACUUCUGUGAAGGGUAAAAUCUGAAAACUUCACUGGGGUGAUGGAGGUCAGGAGACUGGUUGCCUUUGGGUUGAGAGGAGUCAGUGUCUUAGAAGGGAUGAGAGAGAACCCUCUGAAGUGAUGAUAAAUGAUUUUGAUCUCGGUGAGUAGCUAGAUAAAUACAUGUGAAAAUUCUUUGGAUUGUAAUGUAUGCUUAAGAGUUUUGUAUGUGAACAAUUCUUCAAUAAAUGAUUGCAAAGAAAAGGGAAAUAAUGUCAAAGUUUUAUCAUGGAAAUUUCCAAACAUGUCUGUAGAUUACAAGGAACCCCCAUGUACAUACCAUCUUGCUUCAACAUUUUGCCUUGCUAGUUUUUUGUAUCUCCUCAACCUUCACUCACGUUUCUUUUUUUUUGAUAGUACACACAUCUCAGUAUCUAUCACAGAUACAUGAUUCUGAGCAUAUUUUGUGUUUUUGUAGCAUCAAAUGACAUUUGUUACCCUUUGGUAUGCAUAACAUUGAAUUUUUUACUUUCUUUGUUUCCUGUACCCUGUUUUUUUCUUUUUCUGGCUUACUGACAUGAAAAUAAAUCUCUACAGCUUUUUUUUUUUUUUAAUUGAGGUGUAGUUGAUUUACAAUGUUAGGUUGGUUCUUUCCAGCUUUGCUGCUUAAAGCUCAUUGAUUUGUGUAUCUCGAAGGAGGGUAGGUUGAGCAGCAUUCUUGUUACUUGUGACGCUUGAUUCAGAGAUCUUCCUAUCUAAAUGAGAGGUAAACUUGAGGAGUAUUCUUCAUCUCUUUUUAAAAUGAAUUAAUAUUUUAUUCUUUCAUCUCACUUUUCUUUGACUCUAAUCUUUUCCUGCCUUAGCCAAUUAUACUUUAAGGUAAACCACAGAAAUUAUUUAUUGUUCUAGUGUGUUGAGAGUUGUAUUUCACUUCUUGCCUCAAAGAUUGCUAUUGAUAGUCUUAAAAAAAUUUUUUUUACAAGACUUUUCUUCAACAGAAUGCGAAGUUUAUAAAAACUUAGUGAGAUACAAGCUUUACCAGAACAGAAUUUGAAAA